GACGAACGCUGGCGGCGUGCUUAACACAUGCAAGUCGAACGGUAAGGCCCCUUCGGGGGUACACGAGUGGCGAACGGGUGAGUAACACGUGAGCAACCUGCCCUUGACUCUGGAAUAACAGUUGGAAACAGCUGCUAAUACUGGAUAUUCAUCGUCUCCUUCCUGGGGGGUGGUGGAAAGCUCCGGCGGUCAGGGAUGGGCUCGCGGCCUAUCAGCUUGUUGGUGAGGUAAUGGCUCACCAAGGCUUCGACGGGUAGCCGGCCUGAGAGGGCGACCGGCCACACUGGGACUGAGAUACGGCCCAGACUCCUACGGGAGGCAGCAGUGGGGAAUAUUGCACAAUGGGCGCAAGCCUGAUGCAGCAACGCCGCGUGCGGGAUGACGGCCUUCGGGUUGUAAACCGCUUUCAGUAGGGACGAAGGGUGACUGACGGUACCUACAGAAGAAGGACCGGCUAACUACGU
rnacentral:rRNA from 1 species